rnacentral:rRNA from 2 species
CUUGACCUCGGAUCAGGUAGGGAUACCCGCUGAACUUAAGCAU